rnacentral:lncRNA from 1 species
AAGUUCAGCAUCAAGCAAAGCCCUUUCUUGAAUCUUCUUCACUUCUAGCUCCUUGACAACCCUAAAAAUUUCUUUAGCAACUUCAGCUUAAGCUUCAGUGAUAUGGGCCCUUUUCUCUAAAGAAUGAUCGAGCCAGCUGAAAUGGGUCAAUCCUUCAUGCAUUAUAGUCAUGUCAUGCAUUAGCUGCAAAAGAGCAAAAAGGGAAAGACUAAGUUAAGAGAAUGGGAUAUUGACAAAAAGAAAAGGUAAAAUAGACUUGCC